ACCCACCCCGAUUGCAGCCUCACUCCCCCGCUUCCAGCCCAGCUCUGCCCUCAAUCCCUCGCCACCCCCAGCCCAGCUCCUCCCUUAUCCCCGGCUCUGCUUUCAGCCCCAGAUCCUGGACUCAGCCAACUGCGGUGUAAUGGGGUGGGGGCUGAGACAGGCUCCAUUACUGGUAAGUGGGGGCGGGACGGGAAAAGUCUGCGCACCACUGAUCCACUCUGAUCGCCUUAAGAGGAGUUUGAAUAGAAAUAACCUCUGUCUUAACUGUCAUGUUGGUGAUAAAGAGGAGUUUCUCUUUUCUUGUUUUAUUGCUAACACACAAUAUGAGUAUUUCUGUUUAAUUUUUAGGCAAUCGAGAUAUAGAAAUUGGGUGGAGAAGAUCCGUGGCACCUAUAGAAGAAGAAAGCCAGGAGCUUUGCAGUUACCCCACACUGACGGGGUGAUCAGGGACUGUGUCUGUGUGAGACCCUUGCUUCUGUCUCAAGCAAAGGAACAGAACCUUGAUCACAGACGGGCUCCCCUGGCUCCAUUCUACAGAUCUGGGAAGCUCCUGUGAUCAGCGCUGUGAGCUUGUCUCUUUUCUCCUGUCUCCAUCCACCGUGACCCCAGCAUGGUCUCAUCUCUGGUAAACAGGAUGUCAAGUCAGCCUCCCCAUCACUAGCAUGACCCUCUCCCUUUUUCCACCAGCCACCUAUUCUGUACCUCCUCCCUAGUGGUGGAUUUGCCACUGGGACAAUGGGUCCUGUGCCCAGGGGCUCCAGAAAAAUGGGUGUCUCUGUGCCCCAACCCGCUCUGCCUGCCCACUGCUCCUGCCAGAGAGUGGGGUCAGGGCUUGGGGACUUGCCCCAUCUGCCCAGCAUUCCAGCCAGGGAAUGGGGUCAGGGUGUGGGGUCUUGCCCUGUUCUGCAGGUGGAGCACCAGGUGGGCAGAGCAGGGCACACCCCCAUGCCCCAGCCCUAAUUCCCCAGCAGGAGUGUGUGUGUGUGGGGAUUUCUACGGGCAGAAGGUGUGGGGAGGGGCCCUUACUUACUAUGGCCCACAGCCACACAAAACCUUCAUUUGUUCUGGCUCCUCCCACACACAUAGCUUCUACCAUGAACCUGCUUCCCUUGUUUAGCCCCUCAGUCUCCCAGGAUAACGUACUUUUGUGCUGCAACUACUGCUCAGCAGUGACAUUCUCGGCAGGUUCAAUCCUGGUACCUUUUGGCUUGUUGCUGUCCCAUCUGUGAGAUUUCAGAGCAGGCCGGGUGCAGUGGGGAGGCCCCAUAGCAAAGUCCAGCACAGCAGGGGCAGCGGGGACACAGAGAGAUUUAAGGUGGGAGGGGAGCUUUGUCAAUGUUGACUGAAGUUUACCAUGUCCUGGGGGCUCCCAGAGUAUCUAGUCCCCUCCCCAGGGAAACAUGGGGGAAGGAGAGGUGAGAUUCUGAGUCUCAGGCCUGGCCCAGCUGUUCCUGUCGCUGACACAUCUCUGCCAGGGGAGUGACUCUCCCCAGCACUGUGCUGAGAUCUCAGAGCUGACAGGUAAAUCCUGGAGGAAGGAGAUUCCUUGAGUCAUU
ensembl:lncRNA